rnacentral:rRNA from 1 species
AUUGAACGCUGGCGGCAUGCUUUACACAUGCAAGUCGAACGGCAGCGCGGGCUUCGGCCUGGCGGCGAGUGGCGAACGGGUGAGUAAUACAUCGGAACGUGCCCAGUAGUGGGGGAUAGCUCGGCGAAAGCCGGAUUAAUACCGCAUACGACCUGAGGGUGAAAGCGGGGGAUCUUCGGACCUCGCGCUAUUGGAGCGGCCGAUGGCAGAUUAGCUAGUUGGUGGGGUAAAGGCCUACCGAGGCGACGAUCUGUAGCUGGUCUGAGAGGACGACCAGCCACACUGGGACGGAGACACGGCCCAGACUCCUACGGGAGGCAGCAGUGGGGAAUUUUGGACAAUGGGCGAAAGCCUGAUCCAGCAAUGCCGCGUGUGUGAUGAAGGCCUUCGGGUUGUAAAGCACUUUUGGCGGGAACGAAAAGGACUGUGCCAAUACCACGGUUCGAUGACGGUACCCGCAGGAUAAGCACCGGCUAACUACGUG